UGAAUCUAGAAUCAAAGAGAAAACUGCUUGGUAGACUUAAAGAAUCUGCAUGUCUUAUCUGAAGUCUAAGAUCUGAAAGUAAACAAAAAAGGUCUAGGGACACACUGCAGAAACAUUACAAGGACACUGAGGACACUGAAUUGAGAAAGUCUGGAAACUUUGAUAGAAGUGGAGAGCUGGGCUCCACUGCUGAAAUGAAAAGGGCAAAAGAAGAAAAUGAGAACCAGGCUCCACCGCCAAAAAGAAAAGAAAGGUCAAAAAAGCUUUCUGUUGCCACUAAAAAACAGAAUAAACUCAAUACCUGGAAAAUUCAAGAGCUGAGGAAAGAUGAGAUUUCUGCAAACGUGUACACGAGCGAUGAUAUUGGUCUUCAAUGUGCCUCUGAGGACAACAUAGGCUUUGGAAAUUUAUCAGUGAGGGUCCUAGCAGCAUGCAGAUAGUACACUGAAAGAGUUUAACUAAAGAGAGUUUUUUAAAUUGGCUACUUAUGGAGAUGUGAUUAAAGUUAAACCAACAAGGAAUGAAAAGAAUCUGAGGACAAGCAACAGUAGAAAUCCAUUAUCACUCUUAGCCUGAAGGGGCAAGAGGAACUUAAAUCAUUGCCAGAAUCUGAUUUAGACUAAAUCUUAAAAAAGGAACUACCCGACAGGAGUUGGUGGCCAUAGAUGAAUGCUGUUGUGAAAAGCAAGGCAAGGCAAGGAAGGAGAAAGGGAAAUACACACUGCGACUUUCCUUUCCUCCUAGCUCUUGGAUCUCUUAACAGUGUCUCUCAUUGUAAGUCAGAGCCAAGUAAUUCAAGUGAACUUUGUAGUCAUCAGCCCAAAAACAGGGUAGGACAGGGAAGGAAGGACAAUGGAAUCCACUGGGGAAAAACAGAAAACCACCACCUCAAGAAACAAUAAUAUAUGUUUUCAGUUCAGCAGUCCAAUGAGAGUGAUUCUCCAGCUGGAACAAAUGUGACAAAAAGAGGGAAACUUUGGGAUCAUAUGGGAGGAUGAGAAAUACAGAGACAACAGUAGGAGACAGAGAUAAUGGAGACUAUUAAGGCCAUGAUCUUGGCAGGAAAAGUCGGCCUGCUAUAGAUGUGGGUUACUGCCUCUGCUCCCUUUAUAGGAAAGACAAAAACAACUAUGAUAGAAACUGCUAUGCUCUAUCAACUAUGCACAACUGCUUCCUAUGUCAAUCCACAUCAUAUAAAAAGUUCCAAAGACUCCUAAUUAUUCCAAACCUAUUGUAUACUUUUCUGCCUCCAUGUCUUUACAUAUAUAGCUUCUAUUUCUAAUCUUAUAUCUUAUUCUCCAACUCAAACCUAUAUUGUUACAUAAGAUUUUCCUACUAUUCUUUCCCCCAUACCAGUCCAAAUUCUCCUCAUCAAGGGCAAGUUAAACAUCCAUCUCUUCUACAAAGGCAUCCUUUAAAUCCAGCCCACAUUUUUUCCCCAAGGUUUUUUGAACGCAGCUAUCUUUUUAUGUAUCCUUGUAGGAACUUAUGUUCUCAAAUCUGAGGACUCAUGGUUGUCAUCAUUCUGGAAGUUACUGGCUAUUAUUCCUUCAGAUGUGGCCUCUGCCCCAUUCCUUCUAAUCCUUCCUUCUGGAACUCCACUCCGUGUGUUAGUCAUUCUUAGUUUAUCCUUCAUGUCUCUUAAUCUUUCUUUCAUAUUUUUCAUCUCUUAAUCUUUUUGUGUUGUAUUCUGGGCAACUUCUUUAGCACUUUCAGGCCACUAACUCUCUCUUCUUUUCUUUAACAUAUCCUCUUAGUUUUCCAUUUCAGAAGUUAUAUUUCCUAUUUUUUAGUUCUACUUGGUUCUCUUUGUCAUCAGCACCAACAAUUUAUCAAUAAUGGUCAAUAAUGUUUCAUCUCCACGUUUCCCCCAUAAUUAUUUGAAGCAAAUUUCAGACAUCUAAAAUUUCAUUUUAUUUAUUUAUUUUAAAACUCUGCUUAGUCUUUUUGGCUCAUCACCUAUCCUUUGCUCAUGUUUUCAAACUCUUCUAUUCUUUAAAUACUAUAAUCAUUUAAAUAUUUAAACACAAACUUUAAAAUAUUUUAUAUUAUAUAUUUAAUAAUCCCAUUAUCUGCUUCUGCUUGGUCAUGGUGGCUAUAUCCUCAUGUAUUUUAAAAUUUUGUAUGCAAGCUCAUGUUGGUAGAAUUAUUAUUCCCCUAAGCUUCUGAAAUACAAUUUAAUAGUUUUUUAUUUUGUCUCAAACAAUUUAUUUUUAACCUACCAGGCCUUAGGGUCCUUUAUGGAAGGAAUACCUCUGGUGCUUUUGCAUUCUUUGGCAUUUCUUUUUAAAAAUUCUUCUUAAAAUUUCACUAAUUUUAAAAAUUGUUUUCUUUUUUGUGUGCAUUUAUUUAUAGAAUAGAGAUGAAGUCUUGCUGUGUUGCCCAGGCUAGUCUCAAACCAUUCUCCCAUGUCAGCCUCCCAAAGUGCUGGGAUUACAGGCAUGAACCACUGUGCCUGGUCUCUAUUACAUUUCUCACAGUGCUAAAUGGAGGCCUUGAGUAUUAAUUUACAGAUCAGAGAGGUAAGAAAAAGCUAAAAUGUCUACACUAUGUUGUAGAGCAGUGAUUUCCUAAUAACAAGUGAGGCACAGAUAAUUAAAUCAGAUUCAGUUGUGUGGAGCGAGAUGAGAGUAGGUAAGGAAGACAUUCUCUCUCUUUUUUUUUUUUUUUUGAGACGGAGUCUCUGUCGCCAGGCUGGAGCGCAGUGGCGCAAUCUCCGCUCACUGCAACUUCUGCCUCCCAGAUUCAAGAGAUUCUCCUGCCUCAGCCUCCUGAGUAGCUGGGACUACAGGUGUGCACCACCACAUCCAGCUAAUUUUUGUAUAUUUAGUAGAGACAGGGUUUCACCAUGUUGGCAAGGAUGGUCUUGAUCUCUUGACCUCGUGAUCCGCCCACCUGAGCCUCCCAAAGUGCUGGGAUUAUAGGCAUGAGCCACUGCACCUGGAAGACAUUUUCUUUCUUUUUUUUUUUUUUAAGAUAGAGUUUUGCUCUUGUUGCCCAGGCUGGAGUGCAAUGGUGCAACCUCAGCUCACCGCAACCUCCGCCUCCCAGGUUCAAGUGAUUCUCCUGCCUCAGCCUCCUGAGUAGCUAGGAUUACAGGCGCUUGCCACCACACAUGGCUGAUUUUUGGAUUUUUAGUAGAGAUGGGGUUUCACCAUGUUGGCCAGGCUGGUCUUGAACUCCUGACCUCAGGUGAUCCGCCCGCCUCAGCCUCUCAAAGUGCUGGGAUUACAGGCGUGAGCCACUGUGCCUGGCCCUGACAUUUUCAAAUUUAUACCUGCCCUCCCUUCUCAGAUUCUGACCUGUAUCUAUUUGGGAAUCACUGUAUUGACUAGAGUGUGUUGUAUUCUUUGGGUAUGCUGCAGCAAAAAAAAAAAAAAAGGUUGAGCAAACCUCCUUUUCAGUUUUAAUUAUUUUCAUUCAUCCCAUUAAUACUUAGUGAAUAUGUAUACUAAGUGUCUUCUGUGAUAGAGAUACAAAGAUAAGUAACAUAUGGUCCUGCUCUCAAAUAGUUCACAGUUUUGCUUUGGAAGACGGAAAUUCUGGGAGACAGAAAUGUAAAUCAAUACUGGCAAUACAGUGGCAUAUACAAUAUGCACAAUGACACAAAACAGAGAGCUGACCAAUUUUUUUGUAAGGGAAAGGUAGUAGGAAGAUCAAAAAAUAUCAUAAUUGCUCAAAUUGGGUUUUGAGAGCUAUAUCUAAAGAUUAAAGGAGAGGACAAAGUCAUCAGAGGGGAAAAAACAUACAAAGGUAAGGAAGUAUAUAGUACAUCAUAGGGAUAGGAAACAGUUUCAUAUAGUUAAAGCCUAGAAUAUAAGUAGAAAUGCUGUGAGAAAUAAGAAUGAAAACAUGGGCAGAGAUAAGUCAUGAGGAGCUUAGCAUGACUUGGAGUAGAAUUUGGUCUUUAACUUGAAGUUACAGGCUGGUACUAAAGGGUUUCGGUGUAAGGAGGGGUAGGGAUUGGAUCACAUCAGGCAGUACAGGCUGAGUAUCCCUAACCUGAAAAGCUACAAAAUCUGAAACUUUCUGAGCACAAAUAUGACAAUGAAAGGCAAUGCUCAUUGGAGGAUUUGGGAUUUCAAAUUUUUCAGAUGCUCAAUCAGUUUGCAUUUUUAAAUGCAAAGAUUCUAAGAUCUGAAAAAAAAUUUGGAAUCUAAAAUACUUCUGGUCCCAAGUAUUUCAGAUAAAGGAUAUUCAACCUGUAUAGUUGCUAAAAAGAAAAGCACUGGGAUCAAACUGCCUUGCGUAUGCAUGCACACUCAAUAAAUGUUUGUAGAACAAAUAGGUUAAAUCUUAAUCCCACACCACUUAGUAGUUCUGUGACCGUGAGCAAGUUAUUUAACUUUGCUGGGUCUCAGAUUGCUCACCUGUAAAAUAUGUGUUAAUGGUAUCAACCUUGCAGCGCUGUGUGAGAAUUAAAGGAGUUAAUACAACUCCAGUACAUAAGUCAAUCUCAAUAUGUCGCCUUUUAUUAUUAUUGUGAUAUGCAAUGAAGAAAAUCUACACUGCCAAAAGGAUAGACUAGAAAUAGAGACAAGUUUGCUAACUCUAAUGAAGAACAAAAGCCGUGGCUUCAGACAGACUUGACUUUGGUGAGAGAUGCUUGUGUUGAUUACUGGCUCCACCACUUUCUAGCUGUGUGGCCUGAGAAAACUAACUGAAACUCCUGGAACCUCAGUACUCUCUAAAAUAGAAAUAAUUGUAUGUAUAUCAUAAGAUUAUUGUGAGGAUUAAAUUAGACACUAUACAUAAGGUUUUUUGUUCAGAACCUAUAAUGGCAGUAGAAACUUCAGUUUAACAUAUGGGAGGGUGAGGAAGAACAGAUUCUGAACACAACUUAUUUUUCAAGAAUCUUGUCUGUGAAAGAAAGACCUAUCAAUAGAGCUAGGACGAAGCAAAAUAAAAAUUUUUAAUGGGAGGAAUGUGAGUAUAUCCAACAAGAAUAAGAUAUCAGAAGAAAGAAGUGGUUAAAAAUAUAGGUGCUAAUAGGGCUAACUUAUGAAACAAGGCUAUAGGAGACUAGAAAGAAUGGAAACUAGAGGGCAACUUGAAUGAUCAUAGACUGUAAACAGGAAAGAGAGAGACUUCGUUCUCUGAAACCAAGGAGGAAGAUACAAAAAAAUUAGCAGGUGAUAGGAGAAAGCUGAGGUCUGAUGGUCUUAAAUCUAAUCUAUAAAACAAAAGCAAAGGAGUCUGACGUGGGGUAGAAAACUUGAAGAGACAGGCAAAAGAAAAGUUGCUGGUAAUGAAAUAAAAAUGUAAAAUGUGGGAUAACUUUUACAAGCCUAGCUAAGAUUGAAAACUAAAAUUUGCAGUAGUAAAUGUGAUCAUUCAGGAUAUAGAGCAGAGAAGCAACAUUCAGGAUAUAGAGUAGAGAAGCAGAAUAGAAAUUAUUUGCUAUUGGGAGUUUCCACAGCAGGUAGGUAUAAAGAUAAGGUCAAAGGAUGCUGUGGCAGUAUCAGUAAAGAAAUGCUUCAGAGUAACAUUGGUUUUAGGGUAAAUAGAGAAGAAAAUUAAGUUUGGAAGGGGCUGAUAGCAUGAAAAUAUCCUGAAGAAUCAAGGAAAUGGAAAUAUUUGAUCAAAUAUCUAGCUUUGUGAUAAUAAAAAAAACAGCUAGAAGAAAAACAAUAACAAGAGCUAUCGUUUACUGAAUACCAUUAUGUACAAGGUAUUAUCCUAGGUGCAUUAAUUAGUUAGCUAAUUAAUGAAAGGGUUUCACUCUGUUGCCCAGCCUGGAAUGCAGUGGCAUGGUCUCAGCUCACUGCUGUAUUCAACUCCUGGGCUCAAGUAAUCUUGCCUCAGUCUCCCCAGUAGCUAGGACUACAGGCUUGUGCCCCAAACUUGGCUAAUUAUUCUAGGUGCUUUCUGUAGUUUAUCAUUCAGGACAACAAGAGAACUGGUGAAAGGCUGGCAUAUUGAUUUUUUUUUUUUUUUUUUGAGACAGAAUUUCGCUCUUGUUGCCCAGGCUGGAGUGCAAUGGCAUGAUCUCGGCUCACCGCAACCUCCGCCUCU
rnacentral:lncRNA from 10 species